AGGCGGAGGAUGUUCUUGCGGUCCUCCUCGGCCUGCAAACAGAACAUCCAUAGCUGGGACCUACAGGCCCUGACUCCCUUUGCUGGGAUCUGCUCCACAUAACCGUGCCCGAGGGUUUGCAGCUUGCUACCUGAAAGGACAAGACCAGGCAGAGCUUUGCCUAAGGAAGGAGUCUCACAGCUGCAGUGAGAGACAAGAAAGGGUGGCCUCUGGCCCCCAGUGACCUGUUCUGCUUGUUCAGUCUCCGGUUCUCACCACUCCUCCCUCGCUCCUACCAAAAGCCUUCCCUCAGAGUAGAAAGACUUGAGAUAAGUGCGGCACUAUUCUUUGCCAGAAAUGAAAGAUGAAGAGAAUUUCAAAAGAUCGCCUUGUAAAUCUCCCUCAGAUCACAGCAAUCGUAACCAGAUCAAAGAAAUAUAGAAUAAGGUGAGCAUAUGCGUUCCCUCAGACCAGAAGGUGUGAGACAGAAGCAGCAGAAGCAGAGGUGUUAGAUCAAAGAUGAUCCUCAAGGAGCUCAGGACCUAUCUGAGGAUGAUGCACAAGGAAGAAUUCCAGCAGGGGCGGGAUCUGAGAGGGAAGACAACUCUCAAAUAGAAAACUCAAAGGAUACAAUAACUUAAAAAAAAUAAGGCAAGUACAAGUGCUGGACUUGGAAACUGAGAGCACAGAGUAGCAUAAAGUCAUUCCAGAAG